GGCUUCGUGGUCAAGUGGUAAGGACACUUGCUUCUCAUCCAGAAGUCCGGGGUUCAAUCCCCGGUCGAGUUG